rnacentral:rRNA from 1 species
GUGGGGAAUCUUGCGCAAUGGGCGAAAGCCUGACGCAGCCAUGCCGCGUGAAUGAUGAAGGUCUUAGGAUUGUAAAAUUCUUUCACCGGGGACGAUAAUGACGGUACCCGGAGAAGAAGCCCCGGCUAACUUCGUGCCAGCAGCCGCGGUAAUACGAAGGGGGCUAGCGUUGCUCGGAAUUACUGGGCGUAAAGGGCACGUAGGCGGACAGUUUAGUCAGAGGUGAAAGCCCAGGGCUCAACCUUGGAAUUGCCUUUGAUACUGGCUGUCUUGAGUACGGGAGAGGUGAGUGGAACUCCGAGUGUAGAGGUGAAAUUCGUAGAUAUUCGGAAGAACACCAGUGGCGAAGGCGACUCACUGGCCCGUUACUGACGCUGAGGCGCGAAAGCGUGGGGAGCAAACAGGAUUAGAUACCCCAGUAGUCC